AAGUCGUAACAAGGUUUCCGUAGGUGAACCUGCGGAAGGAUCAUUAACACGUAUCCAAACGGUAAAACCCCCCCCGUGAACCUUCAUCCUGCUCUUGUAACCCGCGUAGUUCGCAAUCUCUGAUAAAUCAUAGCCCGGAAAGUUGUAGUGAUUCAGAGACCUCUGGCUACGUGCGAACAUUGGAACAGUUACAAUCGCGCGGUAGUUCAUUGAUUGUGCAAGGAUAGCGCUUCUACGAUUCCUGUAGACCGUACACUCGGGCAGGAGCUUUGCCAAAGGGUCCCCAUGCCCCCUAAUAACCCCACAGUUUAAUGUGAAGCUCAAUGUAAUACAUGGGGUAAAAAAACCGAACAACUGUUAACAAUGGAUAUCUUGGUUCUCU
rnacentral:misc_RNA from 1 species